CAUCCAUGGUGCUCGGCACCCGGUAUCCCUGCUCCUCUUCCUUGGCGGCCGAGCGGGGCUCCCUCUGACGACUCCGCGCUUCCUCUGGUGCACGGCCGCCUCUAUUGCCGUCGCCUGGGGCUUCUGCUGCGUUACCAUGGGCCAAACAGCGAGGAAAAUGCCGAGAGAGAGGUAGAGACAGUUUGGUCGUCGAGUCACAUGGAGGGUGCCCUGGUGGCCGGGGAAUCCUUCACCUGCGGGGUGCUACAUCGCCGGGCUGCUGCAUCGUGGUCUGCCUCUACUACCAGGGCUGACUCCAUUGCCGGACAGCCAAAACUCUCGGUCGAGUCUCUGAAGGCCGUCUGUCCCUGUUCCUUCCGAACGUUGGUGAUUAUGAUACUGGGGCGCCUAAUCGCUGUCGCCGGUGAGAUCCGGCCGCCAGAUUCCAAGGCGCCGCCGGGCUGUGCUGCUACCGUCUGUUGUUGAGGUUGGUGAUGAUCCGGUCACCGUUGAUUCCUCUGGACCGGCCGCCAGCAAGACUCCGUCGGUGCCGUUCCGACCCGCUGUGCGUGUCGUUGGUGCAGUAGAGAAGAAACGAAGAAAGCGUUGUAUACGUAGGGAAAAGAAGCAAGCCACUGUUCGUUCCUGGAUGUCUCAUGGAUCUUCAUCGUUCAAACACCCCAUGUCCAUAUGUGUGGUUGGCUUCAAUAUAAUCACGUCACGUCGUCCAAGCUGCGGUCGUGCCUAUAUUUU